UACGAAGGGGGCUAGCGUUGCUCGGAAUCACUGGGCGUAAAGCGCACGUAGGCGGAUUGCUAAGUCAGGGGUGAAAUCCUGGAGCUCAACUCCAGAACUGCCUUUGAUACUGGUGAUCUUGAGGCCGGAAGAGGUUAGUGGAAUUCCCAGUGUAGAGGUGAAAAUUCGUAGAUAUUGGGAAGAACACCAGUGGCGAAGGCGGCUAACUGGUCCGGAUCUGACGCUGAGGUGCGAAAGCGUGGGGAGCGAACAGG
rnacentral:rRNA from 1 species